rnacentral:rRNA from 1 species
UGGCGGACGGGUGAGUAAUGUCUGGGAAACUGCCUGAUGGAGGGGGGUAACUACUGGAAACGGUAGCUAAUACCGCAUAACGUCGCAAGACCAAAGAGGGGGACCUUAGGGCCUCUUGCCAUCGGAUGUGCCCAGAUGGGAUUAGCUAGUAGGUGGGGUAACGGCCCACCUAGGCGACGAUCCCUAGCUGGUCUGAGAGGAUGACCAGCCACACUGGAACUGAGACACGGUCCAG